rnacentral:lncRNA from 1 species
UCGAAUGUUAGUUGGUGUAUGAUGUAGCUCACUAAAUAUAAAAUAUUUUAGCAAAUUCUCAUUCUUCAAUUAUAUAUUCAUGUGAAGGGAAAGACUACAAAUGAAACGGUUAUGGAAAAUGGUCAUUGUUCAAUAAGAAUGGAAAGUGUUUAUAUUGGGAAUGGAAGAAAGCUUGGAAAACACAUUCAGUUGUUGAAGUUUUACUGUGAGUGAC